UACAGAGGUCCCAAGCGUUGUUCGGAUUCACUGGGCGUAAAGGGUGCGUAGGUGGUCAGGUAAGUCGGAUGUGAAAUCUCCGAGCUCAACUCGGAAACUGCAUUGGAAACUACCUGGCUCGAGGGUUGGGAGGGGGGACUGGAAUGCUUGGUGUAGCAGUGAAAUGCGUAGAUAUCAAGCGGAACACCAGUGGCGAAGGCGAGUCCCUGGACAACUCCUGACACUGAUGCACGAAAGCUAGGGGAGCAAACAGG
rnacentral:rRNA from 1 species